rnacentral:tRNA from 1 species
UCAAAAAUAGUUUAUAUAAAACUUUAAUUUUGGAAAUUAAAAAAAUAAUCUUUUUUAUUUUUUGAA